rnacentral:lncRNA from 1 species
CAGCCCAGCCAGGUUACCUAUUGAGGGCUCUGCCUGCCCUUACCCUUAACCACCUGCUGUGAAUCAGCUGGUGCACUCAGAUAAUAAUGGAGAAAUUACAACAUGUGCCAUAGAAGAUUACACACAUCCUGCCACACUUUGCAGAUGGCUGAUACAAAAAUCAGAGACAAUGCUAAAACAAUUUAAAAGUCCACAAAUAAACCAGUGCAUUCAGCUUCUUUGUGAGGCUGUGGCUAAGGAAACUGAGCCAGCCGGCCUGAAACGCACAAUAUCAGUGUAAGCAGAUCUUAUUAAGAUUCUGUGUGGCUGUUAAAGCACCCUCAGCCAUUGCUUCCAGCUUAGCAUCACUGCUAAUGGGGAAGAGAGGGAGGGAUUAGUUUAGUCUACUUUGAGACAGCACAGAUACAUGCAGGAAGCAUCCUCUGUUGCUUGAACUUGUUUUUCGCUGACCUGCUAUGCAACGAGAAGAGUGCCAAAAAUACAGAAGAGUUGGCACAUAAAAUCCGCUUCUACUCUAUCUACAGUGUCAAGGCUAAAAAAAAGUCCUGAAUGAGCCUUAGAGAGUCAACAAAUCACUGAAAUAGCAGCUAAAGAAGGAAGUUCAGCAUGAGUUCAACUCAUUAAAAUUCCCUCUAAUGUAUGCUCCUGAAAACCAGUGGGCUGAGCGUGAUCCUGGCGAGAGAGGAAGGAUGCCUGUGAACUUGUACACAAGUAGAAAACGGACAAGGUUGACGUGACCGACCUUCAGCAUUGAAGCCUGAUUGUUGCUGUCAUCUGAGAUGGCCAUGUGGAAAGAAAAGGUCAGUGGUGCACCUUUUAGCUGGAGGUGGUAAGAAAUCAGAGCUCUGCACAGCUUGCUUGGGCAAAUCCACACCCGCGUGCAGGAGUGUGUGGCAUAUCAUAGAAUCACAGAAUCAUUAAGAUUGGAAAAGACCACUAAAACCAUCUACUCUGAUCAUCCGCUUACCACCAAUAUUGCCCACUAAACUGUGUCCCUACUACAUCUCCACAUUUCUUGAACACAUCCAGGGACGGUGAUACUGCCGCUUCCCUGGGCAGCCUGUUUCAGUGCCUAACCACUCUUUUGGAGAAGAAGGUUUUCCUAAUAUCCAACCUGAAACAUUCCUGGUGCAAAUUAAGGCC